AUGCAUAUAGACAGCCAAGUCAUUAUGAAUCUCGCAUUCUCGAAGACACGCACUGACGACAUCACGCACGUACGCACGCCCUGGCUGCUAGGAGACGCUAUUCCCUUUACCAGGCCCUCAUGCGGGCCAGCCAGCCAGGCAAAGGCCAGGGGAGCUCGAGACUGGCAACCUGGGCGAAGAACCGGAAGGAGGAAAAGGAAACGGAGGGAGAAAGAUGAGAUGCACCUACUUCUCCCUGGAGAAGCUCGAGGAAGCAGGAAUACUGAAGAUGAGAGACCACAUCUGCUCAGGGGUUUAUUCUUCCGUCUCUUUGCAGGGCUGUUUUGGACUCAGUAUUCACCUAAGCACUCCAAACUACCCAGCACACCCUGCCUGCGCAGCUCUGUGCUGCACCUUCACUCUAGUCACGGGUGUGGCAGUCAGCUCACCAAUUCCUCCUGCUUCCCUGGGACUCGCUGGCUUUUAGCACCGCAAGUCCCUCGGCAAACUGGGAUUGUUGAUCACCCUACCCGGCAGCCAGUGAUAAGGUGAGGGCCGCUCCUGGGAGGGAGGACACCUGUGGGGAAAAUGCUUGUGUUAUUUAUUUCUCCUUCGGGAUAGGGUGCCUGCCGUGCUUCAUGGGAGGGGUGGGCUGAUGCUGCAAGCUCAGAAGUUUCAAGGGCAUCUAGGGAGACCAGAUAUUCAGAGACCUUCUCUUAGAUGUGCGUGUUCCAUGUAUCAGGGAUGCAGGUUUUCCCAGCAGGACUUGUGUCAUUGGCAUGACAGACCUGCCUUGGCUGAGCGUUCAACUGUCUUUGGAGUUCAGCCACCUUAGCAAGUCCUGGGUUUGUUCUUCAGACUUUGCUGCUUGCCCAUUGCUUGGAUCGGGGGCUACUUUGUAAACCACCAGGAAGACUCCAGUGUUUCUGCUUAAUUUUUAGAUGUUUGUUAAUUGCCCUUGGCCUCUCAUUAAUCCCGGUGGGUCCUUCAGGAAACAUACCGUUCCCUGAGUUUUCAUUUCCAGGCAUCUGCCCUGCCUGGAUCUCCUCGCCUUCCAGGAACUUCCUCUUCACAAGCCGCGGCCAUCCCAGCAAAAGUUCUAACAUCGAAGGUCUAGCAGCUAGCCUGCCGUCUUGUGCCUAGAGCCACCUGCGUGCCACCUACCCCCGAAGAUGGGAACCUCGUUGCCAGUUGGGGAGAUGCAGGGCAAUCCUGUACCAAGACCCCAUCUUACCACCUGUUUUCUCGGACCACUCUGGAACCCACUGUCUCAGAUUGGGUCCUCCAGGAAGCAGACUGUGAGAGGGAGUUGGCAGGACCAAAGGUUUACUGGGGCUAACUAACCCUCAGGAAAGGGACAGGAAGGAAGCAGGGCUGGAGAGCAGGUUGAGCCCGACCUGACAGUCUUGAGCAGCCCAGCAGGGAGGUGUGGAGCAAGGGUUGCCCAGUAGAGGGGCCUGCAUUGGGUAUGGGUGGUGGGGUCCACAUGGUACCUGGCACACAGCAGGCUGUGCAAUCCAUAUUAACUGCCUGGAUGAAUUAAUGCCCAGGAAAGGUGCCCUGGAGAACGGGUAUGUGCUGAGCACAAUAGGGAAGGGCCCAGCAUCUGCCUUGGCAUAGGCAGAACUGUGCUGUGCCCUGCAACAGGCCACCCGAGAGCUGCUUUCAUCUU
rnacentral:lncRNA from 10 species